GCAGGGAUGAGGGCAAGAUUUCAACCACCAAUAGAACUUUGUGUAGUGAUGGCUCAUGCUUGGCUUUUGCAGCUGCGCUUCCAGAGGAGCUGUCCAGGAGCCCCAGCCAGAGGAGAAAGUUGCAGAAGGGAACCUGAGCAGUCUGGACAUCCUAAGCAGACAUGAACAGUCCUCAGCUUUCUGCCUCCUGCAUAACUGGCUGUUCAGUACCAAUGGAGAAGAAGUGGAGAGUCAGAGUCCGCUCUCCUCCUUUCAUAAGAUUUGAUGCGUCUGGCCAGAUUCUGCUGUGCAGAUACCAAGGGAAAAGAGAGCUCACAUCAGUCUACUGCCCUCAUGCGAUGGAAAUCAAGCGAGAGCAAUGGGACCAUGAGAAUUAUUGCUGCCACGAACAAGCCGUGCAACUGGCAGAACAGACAUGACUCUC